rnacentral:rRNA from 1 species
CCUGGCUCAGGAUUAGAUACCCUGAUAGUCAUGAGUUUUAACCUGGCUCAGGAUUAAAUACCCUGAUAUUUAUUAUUUUUAACUUUUAUAAAAAUUAAAAAAACUAAAACUAAUACCUUUAUACCACUGCCGCACGCAUGACUGAUGGAGGAAAGUUUUUUCGGUUGGGGAUGGGCUCGCGGCCUAUCAGUUUGUUGGUGAGGUAAUGGCUCACCAAGACGACGACGGGUAGCCGGCCUGAGAGGGCGACCGGCCACACUGGGACUGAGACACGGCCCAGACUCCUACGGGAGGCAGCAGUGGGGAAUAUUGCACAAUGGGGGAAACCCUGAUGCAGCGACGCAGCGUGCGGGAUGACGGCCUUCGGGUUGUAAACCGCUUUCAGCAGGGAAGAAGCGCAAGUGACGGUACCUGCAGAAGAAGUACCGGCUAACUACGUGCCAGCAGCCGCGGUAAUACGUAGGGUACGAGCGUUGUCCGGAAUUAUUGGGCGUAAAGAGCUCGUAGGUGGUUGGUAACGUUUAUUGUGGUAACGCAGCGCAUAACUUUGAGCGUUCAGUGGUUAGGGGUUUCCUAGGGUUCAGUAGUUAAAUCCCUUAGUAGUCCUGAGUUUGAUCAGGGCGCAGGAUUAAAAACCCUGGUAGUCAUGAGUUUGAUCCGGGCUCAGGAUUAGAUACCCUGGUAGUCAUGAGUUUGAUCCUGUC